CACAUGCCCCCACCCCAGAGCAUAGUGACAUCAGACCCAUACACCUCCAUCCAUUGUUGGGGAAACAGGAGGGGUGGGAUUCCAGUCAACAGACAGGGCCCUCAGCCAAGGAGGUGCCCAGGCCCAGAGAAUAUUCUGGACUACGCUCGUAAUGACCAUAGCCAGAUCCAACCAGGCUAUAAAAAGGGGCCUCCAUCCAAGAGCCCCUUGAGGGGUCUUCUCAGAGCAGCAGGACUGUGAUAAGAGCCUCCCCUGAGAUCAGGAAUGCCAUCUAAGGAGACUUGCCUGGACUGAGUGCCCUCACCUUCUCCUUGACAGAAAAUGUGUUUAGUCCAAGAUGAGGAAAUCUGUCAUGUCGGUUAGAUUCUCCUUACCACAGCAAUACUCUGAAAAGGACAGCUACACCAAAUGGGUCACUUCUCCUAUCAACCACACGAGUAUUGCUCUCCAAGCAAGCCCAGCAAUACAGACAAGAGAAACAUGAAAAUAACCACCUUUGGAGAUUGAAGUCAUUCAUGUUGCAUGGUACUUUGAGAUUCCCAGAAUGGAAAACACAGCUGAAACGCACAUUACUGUCUCAGGGACAAAGAAGAGCGAUCAGAUGAAAUAAUGAUAAGAAAAGGCAAAAUAAAUUAGUUCCUUGCCUUCCUGAGGGCAGGCUGUGCUGGUUUUAUGAAUGUGAGAACCUAUUCUUGGCCUUACAUAGGCAUUUGUGAAAAAACGUGUCACUGUUGCAUCCCUGUAUGUGUGUCCUGUCAAAAAGAGUGACCAUGAGGAAAUUCAGAGCACCUGACACGUUCUGCUCGAAGGCUUGUGAAAUCAACCACAUCUAUCUGGAGGGCUCUGUGUACACCACAGCUAACUAAAGUACCAGCAAGGUCAGAGAGUGCCUUGGAUGUAGUCCUAGAAAACCAUCCAGGCGCACUAAAUAAAACAGAAGCCAGUAAGCAUCUGGAGAGAAGUGAUCUUAAUGCAUUCAGAUCAGAGAUGUCGCCAGCAGAAGGAUCAAGC